rnacentral:rRNA from 1 species
CAUAGCCAGUAGAUUUUAUUGCAGGUUAAACCUGCCCAAUGUUAAUAUAAAUGGCCGCGGUACUCUGACCGUGCUAAGGUAGCGUAAUCAUUUGGCUUUUAAAUGGAGUCAGGUAUGAAUGGGAAAACCCGGUGAAGCUGUCUCUAUACUAUUUCUUUUAAUUUACUGUUCAAGUGAAAAAGCUUGAAUAAUUUAAAGGGACGAGAAGACCCUUAGAAUUUUUAUUAAACCUUUAUUUUCGGUGAAAAUUUUUGCUGGGGCGGCAAAGAAAUAAAUAUAAACUUUCUUCUAUAACAAGCCGAAUAUAUUAAGCAUGAAUAAAUUACCUAAGGGAUAACAGCAUAAUUCUAUUAAUGAGUUUGUGACCUCGAUGUUGGACUAGGAAACUAGCAGGCUAGCCGUUUGUUGAGUGGGUUCUGUUCGAACUUUUAAUUCCUACGUGAU